AUUGAACGCUGGCGGCAUGCUUUACACAUGCAAGUCGAACGGUAACAGGCCGCAAGGUGCUGACGAGUGGCGAACGGGUGAGUAAUGUAUCGGAACGUGCCCAGUCGUGGGGGAUAACGCAGCGAAAGCUGCGCUAAUACCGCAUACGAUCUAUGGAUGAAAGCGGGGGACCGUAAGGCCUCGCGCGAUUGGAGCGGCCGAUAUCAGAUUAGGUAGUUGGUGGGGUAAAGGCUCACCAAGCCAACGAUCUGUAGCUGGUCUGAGAGGACGACCAGCCACACUGGGGCUGAGACACGGCCCAGACUCCUACGGGAGGCAGCAGCGGGGAAUUUUGGACAAUGGGCGCAAGCCUGAUCCAGCAAUGCCGCGUGCAGGAAGAAGGCCUUCGGGUUGUAAACUGCUUUUGUACGGAACGAAACGGUCUGGGUUAAUACCUCGGGCUAAUGACGGUACCGUAAGAAUAAGCACCGGCUAACUACGUGCCAGCAGCCGCGGUAA
rnacentral:rRNA from 1 species